GAUGAAGAACGUAGCGAAACGCGAUAAGUAAUGUGAAUUGCAGAAUCCAGUGAAUCAUCGAAUCUUCGAACGCACAUUGCGCCCGCCAGCAUUCUGGCGGGCAUGCCUGUUCGAGCGUCAUUUCAACCCUCGACCUCCCCUUGGGGAGGUCGGCGUUGGGGACCGGCAGCACACCGCCGGCCCUGAAAUGGAGUGGCGGCCCGUCCGCGGCGACCUCUGCGCAGUAAUACAGCUCGCACCGGGACCCCGACGCGGCCACGCCGUAAAACACCCAACUUCUGAACGUUGACCUCGAAUCAGGUAGGACUACCCGCUGAACUUAAGCAUAUCAAUAAGCGGAGGA
rnacentral:misc_RNA from 1 species